rnacentral:lncRNA from 10 species
CUGAAGCAACAUAGUCAUUAGGUUGAAAGAAAGAAGCAUCUGAUAAACCCCAGACAUCCUGGUGCCAAUUUGCGUCUCUCCCUUUCUGGCCUGUGCAGAGCUCAGAGACAGCGUCUAAGAGGGCGGCUGACAAUCUGCCUCAAACACAAACACAUGACAAAUAUAGUUCUGCAGUGAAGACUUUAGCCCCACGGGGAAAGCUGAGACUCAGGAGCCUGAUGGCAUAAACAAGGCGAAAGGCUUGGUAGCAAAUCAGAAGACUUGUUUUUGGAAGCUGAAAACUUACUUCGGCAACAACAGUCCUCCAUGGCUCCCUGUUUGUGCUCUUGCUGGCCAGGCCUGGGAAGCCCUCUUGGGGCCUCUGAGGCUUGUAACCAGCCCUGCUUAGGAACUUACUGUGUCUCUGUUUGAUUGAGCCUGGGCAUGAGAUAAAACACGAGGUCAUCUGCAAUGGCACUGGUGCUGUGGCUGUAUCAGCAUGGCUCUGAUGUCCCUUCGGGGCAGGCAACAGUUCAGGGAGGACUUACAAGCAAGCUCUGGAACUUGAAGUCUCAAGAGAUGACAAAUAGUCAAUUCUCAAAAAAUGAAGAAAAGAAAAACUUGUUUCUUCAUGUUUGCUAACCCUAUCUAUAUCUAUGGUUUUGGCCAAUAAAUUCACUGUGUUUAAAUCCUCAUUGCGCUGAUUUCUGUCUUUUGGAAAAUGACUUCACAGUGUUUACAUCUCUGAACCAUCCUGUCAGAGAUCUUAUUACUCCUAUUUUUUUUUUCUUUUAAGAUGGAGUCUCGCUCUGUCGCCCAGGCUGGAGUGCAGUGGUGUGAUCUCGGCUCACUGAACUUCCCCUCCCCAGUUCAAGCGAUUCUCCUGCCUCAGCCUCCCUAGUAGCUGGGAUUACAGGCCCCCACCACCAUGCCUGGCUAAUUUUUAAAUAUUUUUAGUGGAGAUGGGGUUUCACCAUGUUGGCCAGGAUGGUCUUGAGCUCCUGACCUCAAGGGAUCCACCCGCCUCGGCCUCCCAAAGCACUGGGAUUACAGGUAUAAGCCACCGCGUCCGGCCUACUCCCACUUUGUUUCCAAGGAUAGUCAAGUGAAGGAGUGGGAGUGGAGAAGGAACAAAUAAAUCUGUAACUGCUUGUGAUCAAUUAGUUGUUAAUGUCAAUACCACUGCACUGAGAAGGCUGAGGUUCACAAAGGUGAAGUGAUUUAUCUAAGGUUUUAUGUCUGGUUUGUAGAGAGCCAGGACCCAAAUCCAGACCUUCCCCUACAGACCCUGACCCUUCCUCUGCCUUGUGCCGAUGCCUUGAGGGGACCCUUCCCAAGGUCCCCUGGGCCACACCCUGCUCCCCUGACCCACAGGGCUGCUGAGGUCACCUCUUUCAAAGGGUCUGCUUUGGUUCCACUUUGCCAUUAGAAUAAAGCUUUG